rnacentral:rRNA from 1 species
UACGUAGGGUGCGAGCGUUGUCCGGAAUUACUGGGCGUAAAGAGCUCGUAGGUGGUUUGUCGCGUUGUUCGUGAAAACUCACAGCUCAACUGUGGGCGUGCGGGCGAUACGGGCAGACUGGAGUACUGCAGGGGAGACUGGAAUUCCUGGUGUAGCGGUGGAAUGCGCAGAUAUCAGGAGGAACACCGGUGGCGAAGGCGGUUCUCUGGGCAUGUCCUGACGCUGAGGAGCGAAAGUGUGGGGAGCGAACAGG